AUAUGUAAUAUUAUCAACAUUUUUUUUUUCCAAACACUGAAAAAGACAUCAAUCCCAAAAGAUCACCGCAGAUUUGAUUUUGUCUGGACAUGUCGAUCUACAUAUACGUUACGUAGGUCAAGGCUGUCGCAAUUGUAUAGACUUGACUCAAGUCACUUAGGUCUUUGUAGUAUACAAAUGCAUUUGGUCCGGUUUUUAAUUCAUCAAGGAUAAGUGAAGGACGUCGAGUGGUUUACAUUGGGGACAGAGGCUGAAGGAGAAGACUCCAAUUCUAAGAGAUAAUUUGGUUACAAACUUAUGCGCACAUAACCUGCCUUUAUUAAUUUUCUCUGUUCUCUCAAGCUUUUGAUCUUACCACUGGACUACAUUAAAUUUGUUAAAAGAAAGCUAUUUAAACCAACCACGUCCUUGUUGAGGCUUGAACAAUAGUCUCUUGAAGCUUUAGGUACCACUGAAACACUUUAUAUGUUCUGAAGAUAACUAAUUUUUAACAUGGUCUGGGUCUCGUAUUAUAGAGAUGUAGGAGACUUCAGACUCAACACUUCCUAGUUCUUCCCAAAAAAUAAAUAAACAAGUUUGUGAUCUUAUUUUUAAAACAUGAUAUUUCAAAUUAAACUUUCGAAAAAAAAAUUCUUUUGCACUUGGCACUAUAGAAUAUUCUAAACCUUCCAUAGAUCCGGGAUGCUCCAGAUUAUUCAAAAAAAAUUUGAUUGCAAAUAUAAAACUCUUAUUGACGUAAGUUUGUAAAUAAACAUAUGAAUAUGAAUACAAGAUUAUCAAUGAUAAGUUUAAACUCAACAUAUAGGUUGGAUUGGAUAAAAGCAAUACUAUUACCUACAAUCGAAAACAGAGUGGCAAACCUGUCAUGCACUUUUGCAACCUCUCUCUAUUUUACAUUGAAUAGAAAAUCUCUCAUCUUCAUCUUGUGCCGGUUGCAGGUUCAAAAGCUCUCUACUCGCGUUGCAAGACACUCUUAUUGACACAAACUCCCUAAUUGGUGACGGACUGGGGACUUCGUGGCAAUGGUGUAUACCCUGUACUGUAAUAAUAAUGUUUAAAAACUCCCAAAAAGUAAUACUCCAAGUUCAUGCACCCAAGUCCCGAUGGUUUCAAUAACCUCGAGCUCAUGUUCAUACAAUUAAUUUUCACCGGUAUUACAAAAGAAGGCAUAGACCUAUAAAAUAAACAGUUAGGAACCGUCCAUAUACAGCCCAAUAAUCAUUAUCAUUCAUUUCUACAUAUCCAAUAUUAUAAACUUGUUAGUUCGUUUUAUCAUCUCCUGUACUUAACUAUUUUCUUACUACUUAGUCUUUCAUUUACAUUUUCAGCCUGAAGGUCACCUACAGCCCAAAGAUUCAUCACGGCCGAAGUCAACCUGCGAUAAAAGGUCUGUCAUGGCCAAAGCAAGCAUGUGAUCGAAAGGUCCAUCAAGACAUAUCGGUCCAUCACUGCUUGUUGGUCCAUAGCUAACCUUUGACUCGAAAGUUCGUCAUAUCCCGUAGCCAACAUACAACCCAAAAGUCCAUUGCAGACCAUAGCCAACAUAUGACCCAAAGGUCCAUCACUGCCAAAGUCAACCAGCAAUCCGAAAAUUCAUUAUGACCGAAGCCAACAUACGGCUUAAAAACAUUAACUAAACAUUUCAUUAAAUAACUCAUGUAUACUAUGAUAAUGUUUUCUUUCAUGUCUCAUAUACUUAGGAGUUAGGAUUAAACAACUAUUUUCACAUAAACAUCAUAAUGUAAUUUAGCUAUCAAUCCGCCAAACGUAUCAUACAUUUUCUAAUAAUACAAAGAACAUCAUUCGAUUCUUGAAGGAUAUCCUUCGAAGAACAAAGAACAAAAUUUUCAUAAACAUUUCACUUAAGUGCUUAAUCUCAGUCCUAAUGAGUCAAAUUUUAUUCUUCUUUCGAGAACGUUAGAAUGGAAUAAAAUUAAAAUUACAAUAACGUCGAGGUAUUAAAAAGACUGAACAAGAAAAUGCAAAGUUUGAAAGAGACGAAAGACUGGCGAGAUCUCGAUUCUUUUAGGAACGAUGAGUUCAUAACCGAUUUUAAAAGUCUCCAACUUCAUUCUUCUUUCAAGUUGUCCUUCAGUGUUCUUUGUUCGACCGCAGAUUUUGCUUCAUCUUCUAGGAAAAUAGGGUUUAUACAUAGGAAACGUGAGGCAGUUAUGUCCGCUAGUAAGUACAAGAAGAAAUUCCAGAUACUUGCGAAAAUAAAAUAUCUUGAAAAAUUCAACAAAGAAGAAUAGAAACCUCUUGGUAAACCACAAAGUUUCUAAUGUUUGUAAUAAAAAUUAAGUUAUCGAGAGAAGAAAAAUUGUCUUGUGUCCUCUGGCUGCACAUUUCUUUACUUUUUUUUUUGUUUUAACCAAGGCACCAAUGCCUCUUGGCCUCUGUCAGAGCUUCGAGACUCAGCACUCUUCCCCUGCUUUCCAUUCUACCAUACCAUUUCAUCCUCUUAGUCUUCCCUAACUCUUCAUGUAUCUGAAAGUAUGGUCAAACAUGGGUAUAUCUCGAUUUACAAACUUAUCAAACAACUUGCAAAAACAUGAUAAGUUGUCAAAAUUGUUUUAUGUACACUAGGCAAAGAACCCGUGCGAUAUCGCACGGACACUCAUUUUAUAAAAAUAAUAUUAUAUAAAAUUCAUUUUUAUAAAAUAACUUUUAUAAACAUUUUUUACAAUUACUUUUGAGGAAAUACAUAUGUUACAAAAUUUCUCGCAUGCAACUAUGUUUCUUUAUUGAAAAUACUAAAAACUAUAUUUCUUUAUUGGUAAUACUAAAAACUAUGUUUUAUUUAUAGGUUUGGUUGUAAUAAAUUUAUAAACAUGUAAAUACCAAAUAAGAUAUAUGUCUUUUAGUUCAUUUAUUUAAAAAUCUCUAUUUGAAUCUAAUUAAAAAGCAAACACAUUCCAGUCUAAUUUUUUACUAAAUUAGUAAGGUAACUUACAAUGAAAAGUAAAAUAUUCAUGAUUUUUUUUUCGAAACCAUGUCAGACGUGUGCAGUCGAAAACAUUACUAUAUGACAAUUUUAAAAUAUAUUAUCCCUUAACAUAUUCUUCUUAGUAUAUCAUCCAUAUUUUCUGUUUUAUUAGACGUUCUUAAAAAAUCAAACUGGCAUUAAAAAACUAAUUAAAAUUCAAUUUAAAAUGAAAAUAGAUUUUAAACCUUCAAUAUAAUUUCGAGUUCUCAGUCAAACUUAUUCAUUAUAUGUAUAUUCUAUAAAGAAAAAUUCCCAAAAAAAUGCAUGCUUACAAAUUAAGAAGCAGAUUUUGGUAUAAUUACAAUGUGUAUACUGAAACACAAAAAAUAUUUAUUUUAUAAGAUUAUGUAUUAUAAGAAAUAUUAAAAAAAUUGUAACAACUUAAAAAUAAAUAAAAAACGAUUCUUAAUUAUUCACAAAUUUUAAAAUCUUUAUAUCUCUUUGUUGACUAAUCUGCUGACAAAAAAAAGACUAAUAUACAGUUCCAAAUUCUUAACUAAUUAAAAUUCAUUUUAAAAUGAAAAUAGAUUUUAAACCUUCAACAUAAUUUUGAGUUCUCAGUUAAACUUAUUCAUUAUAUGUAUAUUCUAUAAAGAAAAAUUCCCAAAAAAAUGCAUGUUUACAAAUUAAGAAGCAGAUUUUGGUAUAAUUACAAUGUGUAUACUGAUACAUAAAAAAUAUUUAUUUUAUAAGAUUAUAUAUUAUAAGAAAUAUUAAAAAAAUAUUGUAACGACUUAAAAAUAAAUUAAAAUCGAUUCUUAAUAAUUAAAAAUUUAUAAAAUCUUUAUAUCUCUUUGUUGACUAAUUUGCUGACAAAAAAAAGAUUAAUAUACAGUUCCAAAUUCGUUACUUGAACUGUUGAAAACAUUUACUAAAUUACCGCACAUAAUAUCUUUUGGUAGUUCUUAUUUAAAUUUAAUAGUCUGGAAAUUUUGAAAUCAAAUAAAAUCAUUUGUAAGCUCUAUCAUGUUUUUCCAAAAGGUGUGACAAAAACUUUAUAAUGGCUCAAACAUAACUACAAAAUUUUCAGUUUAAUGAUUUAUUGAAAUAUGUCAAUAUAUUUAUUUCCAUUAAAUAUUUGAAGAAAGACUUUAAUUAUAAAUGUAUCAAAAUUAUUCAAACUAUUUGUACUAAAAUCAUUGAUUUCAACACUCUCAUUUAUUAAUGACACAUAAAAAAGCCUUAUCUUCAGAUUCAUCGUCAUAUAAGAAGUCACCAAGAUUAAAAUGAAAUGAGUUCAUCAAUGGUGUUGUGGUGAAGUUUUUGAAGAUCUUAGAUUGUAUUAUAAAUCAGGCCGCAACUUUCAUCCGUUAAUAGGCCAUAACUUAUAUCAAAUUUUGUAACUCUAUGAUUCAUAUUUUGGACUGAGGAGUGACUCUGCAAAAUAAAAACGAAAGCUAAGUUUAUAAAUCAGUGAAACAAUAAACUGAAAACCUUUAUUUACUGGCGGUAAUUUAUUGAAAUUCUUUGAAUGUGGUCUGGGUUAUCAAAGUAGACACUUUUCUUAAAUUAAACUGUUUUUUUUAAGAAAUAAAAUAUUAUUACCAAACCUGUUGUUUAUAAAUAUGAUAGAAAAACAGAUGAACAUAAAUAGGAAGAAUUUUCUGAGUUCACUUCACAAUUAUAAAGAUAAUGAUUAAUUGCAUACCAUGUGUUGCCACACAAUCCAAAGUAGAAGAUGAUUGCAAAUCUCUUAAAAGAAAGAUCAAAAAAUAAUUAAGAUAAAAAAAAA